rnacentral:rRNA from 1 species
CACGUAGGGGGCAAGCGUUGUCCGGAUUUAUUGGGCGUAAAAGAGCUCGUAGGCGGCUUAGUAAGUCGGGUGUGAAACCUCCAGGCUCAACCUGGAGACGCCACCCGAUACUGCUGUGGCUAGAGUCCGGUAGGGGAGCGUGGAAUUCCUGGUGUAGCGGUGAAAUGCGCAGAUAUCAGGAGGAACACCAGCGGCGAAGGCGGCGCUCGUGGGCCGGUACUGACGCUGAGGAGCGAAAGCGUGGGGAGCAAACAGG